rnacentral:rRNA from 1 species
GAUGAACGCUGGCGACGUGGAUAAGGCAUGCAAGUCGAACGGUUGUAGCAAUACAACAGUGGCGAACGGGUUAGUAACACGUAGAUAUCAACCCUUUACUCGGGCAUAACCUGGAGAAAUCUAGGCUAAUUCCCGAUAGUCCGGAAACGGUAAAGAUUUUUCGGUAAAGGAUGAGUCUGCGUCCUAUCAGCUAGUUGGUGAGGUAAUGGCUCACCAAGGCAAUGACGGGUAGGCGGAGUGAGAGCUUGACCGCCAACAAUGGCACUGAGACACGGGCCAUACUCCUACGGGAGGCAGCAGUCGAGAAUAUUUGACAAUGGGCGAAAGCCUGAUCAAGCGACGUCGCGUGUGGGAUUAAGAUCUUCGGAUUGUAAACCACUUUUCUAGGGGAAGAACUUUGACUGUACCCUAGGAAUAAGGGGUGACUAAACUCGUGCCAGCAGUAGCGGUAAUACGAGUGCCCCAAGCGUUAUCCGGAUUUAUUGGGCGUAAAGGGUCUGUAGGUGGUUUGUUAAGNUUCUCGNUAAAGCUCCAGGGCUUAACCUUG